UAGGGGUGAAAGGCCCAUCGAGCCUGGCAACAGCUGGUUCCAACCGAAACAUGUCGAAGCAUGACCUCAUCCGAGAUAGCCCGCGGGGUAGAGCUACCGAUUGGAUGACCCGCCUCCGAGAGGAGUCGGCCAUCCUGUCGAACUCCAAACCCGCAGGCGUUGUAGACGAUGGGAGUCCGGUGCGCGGGGUAAGCCUGUGUACCGUGAGGGGAACAACCCAGAGCCGGGUUAAGGUCCCAAAGUGUAGAUUAAGUGCGAUUCGAAGGUGGUCUCAAGCCCUAAACAGCCGGGAGGUGAGCUUAGAAGCAGCUACCCGCUAAGAAAAGCGUAACAGCUUACCGGCCGAGGUUUGAGGCGCCCAAAAUGAUCGGGGCUCAAAUCUACCACCGAGACCUGGCCGUGCCCUUGACAGGGGCAACCGCGUAGGUUGGCGUACUGGUCGGACGGAAGCCCGGGCGAGAGCUCGUGUGGACCGUCCAGUAACGACAAUCCUGGUCACAGUAGCAGCGAUAGUCGGGUGAGAACCUCGACGGCCUGAAGAGCAAGGGUUCCUCGGCACUGCCGUUCAGCCGAGGGUUAGCCGGUCCUAAGGUGUACCACAACUUGACUACACCGACGGGAAGCUGGUUAAUAUUCCAGCGCCAUCGUGCAGUAAACGCCGACGCCGUGUGGAACGCUGAGCCGGGCACUCGCCCGGUCGAAUCGUGGAAACUCGUGGACGCCGUCACGGCACGAAGCGAGCGAAACGCGAAACAGCGAAAGUCAGCCGUACAUAGGGCCCGUGAAAAGGCAAGCACGAUGUCCGUACCGAGAUCCGACACAGGUGCUCUGCCAGCGCAAGGCAAGGCCUGUCGGGAGAACCGACGUUAGGGAAUUCGGCAAGUUAGUCCCGUACCUUCGGAAGAAGGGAUGCCUGCUCUCUAAGGAGCAGGUCGCAGUGACUCGGGCGCUCCGACUGUCUAGUAACAACACAGGUGACCGCAAAUCCGCAAGGACUCGUACGGUCACUGAAUCCUGCCCAGUGCGGGUAUCUGAACACCUCGUACAAGAGGACGAAGGACCCGUCAACGGCGGGGGUAACUAUGACCCUCUUAAGGUAGCGUAGUACCUUGCCGCUUCAGUAGCGGCUUGCAUGAAUGGAUAAACGAGAGCGCCACUGUCCCAACGUUGGACCCGGUGAACUGUACGUUCCAGUGCGGAGUCUGGAGACCCCCAAGGGGAAGCGAAGACCCUAUAGAGCUUUACUGCAGGCUGUCGCUGAGACGUGGUCGCCGAUGUGCAGCAUAGGUAGGAGACGCUACACAGGUACGUGCGCUAGCACGCCACCGAGUCAGCAUUGAAAUACUACCCGUCGGUGACUGCGACUCUCACUCCGGGAGGAGUACACCGGUAGCCGGGCAGUUUGACUGGGGCGGUACGCGCUCGAAAAGAUAUCGAGCGCGCCCGAAGAUCAUCUCAGCCGGGUCGGGAAUCCGGCGAAGAGCGCAAGAGCACAAGAUGGUCUGACAGUGUUCUUCCCAACGAGGAACGCUGACGCGAAAGCGUGGUCUAGCGAACCUACGAGGUUCCGGAAUGGGACCCGUAGAUGACAGAAAAGCUACCUUAGGGAUAACAGAGUCGUCACUCGCAAGAGCACAUAUCGACCGAGUGGCUUGCUACCUCGAUGUCGGUUCCCUCCAUCCUGCCCGUGCAGAAGCGGGCAAGGGUGAGGUUGUUCGCCUAUUAAAGGAGGUCGUGAGCUGGGUUUAGACCGUCGUGAGACAGGUCGGCUGCUAUCUAUUGGGGGUGUGAGGUACCUGACGUGAACGAACGUAUAGUACGAGAGGAACUACGUUUGGUCGCCACUGGUGUAUCGGUUGUCCGGAAGGGCAGAUGCCGAGUAGCCACGCGACACGGGGUAAGAGCUGAACGCAUCUAAGCUCGAAACCCACAUGGAAAAGAGGUACCACAGAGGUCACUCGUAGAAGACGAGUUCGAUAGACUCGGGGUGUACGCACCGAGGCAACGAGGUGUUAAGCCCACGAGAACUAACAGACCGAGCCACAUUCAUU
rnacentral:rRNA from 1 species